UGUUGAUCUUAUGAAUAUCUUUAAUUGACUAUCCUUAUACGACUAACUUACUCUACUUAUAGGGGCGAGGUGUCACACACACUACACCUCCCCCGUUUUUGGAAAAAAAAAAAUAUUGAAAUACAUUUUUUUUGGAAAUUGAAACCUAACGGAAAUAAAAUCUAAAUAUAUUAACCGCACUGUUGACAAUUGUUACAAAAUGUUGAAUUCUAUUAUCUAUUUAUCUCUUUUACAUAUUUUAUUUUUCAUAAUAAUAUAAUUAUUCUCCGUUAACAUAAACCCUCAUUACCUUUAUAACUAGGUACACAUUAAUACAUUUUAUUUUAUUUAACUUAUUUCACUACCAUUGUCGUAAGGUACAUACAUUACAUUAUACACAUGUGAGCACAUUACAUUUAUACAGGACUCUCUGGUACCUGCGUUUCAUUUUAUUUAUUUCAUUAUAUCAUUCACCAUUCUUCAUUUCAUUAUAUUUGUGCUCACUUUAUUCAUUUAUUCAUUUUACAAAAUUUAGUGUCAAUAUUUAAGGUUACUAUUGACCUCCAAUAGAUUCUCACAGAGAGAGCUCGUCUACACCAUGAUCGAACUAAGGACAUGACCACUAAACUGUACCUUACCAUGUGUACCUAUUAUAUUUAUUAAUUACUUAUCAUUUAACUAUCACAAACCAACAUAACACAAUCUAAUUGAAUUGCUUGGUUGACAAAAUUAUACGCUGUCCUUAGGUGAUCAGCCUUCAGUCACACGCCAAAACUUGUGUACCAAGUAAUUCCAAAUUAUCUAAAAACCAAACUUACAAACUUUUACAAACAAUGAACACAUUCCAAAGCUUUGCUGAUAUCAAAUUUCAUUCAUCUAAUUAUUAAUUUCAUAAGACAAAACCAAAGUGCAGUUGUUAUUGUUACUCGGUGUCAAGUAACACGAUUCUUCCAAUACAAUCUGACACUCGGUAUGACAUCAUUUACCUAUAUGGGCAUGGGAACAUUCCUUCAAUCCCUAUUAUUCAUGCUAUGUAUACUAUAUAAUUACAAAAUUUUACAUUAUUUCG